GCUAAGCCCUAAACAUUGAUAGCCAUUAUACAAAACUAUCCGCCAGAGAACUACAAGUGAAAAACUUGAAACUCAAAGGACUUGACGGUGUCCCAUAUCAGCCUAGAGGAGCCUGUCCUAUAAUCGAUACCCCCCGCUCCACCCCACCUUAGCUAGCAAAACUCAGCCUAUAUACCGCCGUCGGCCAGCCUACCCUAUGAAGGUCUAAUAGUAGACAUAAUAGUCAAACCACUAGUACGUCAGGUCAAGGUGUAGCAAAUGUUAAGGAAGUGAUUGGCUACAUUUUUUAUUAUAAAAAACACGGAAUGCACUAUGAAAUCGUUCAUGAAGGUGAAUUUAGUAGUAAAACAGACAAGAGUGUCUGCUUUAACAAUGCUCUGGGACGUGU
rnacentral:rRNA from 1 species